rnacentral:rRNA from 1 species
ACGUAGGGGGCGAGCGUUGUCCGAAGUUACUGGGCGUAAAGCGCGCGUAGGCGGCCCUUUAAGUUUGGGGUGAAAGGUCCAGCGCUCAACGCGGACAGUGCCCUGGAUACUGGGGGGCUUGAGUGUGGGAGGGGGUAGCGGAAUUCCGGGUGUAGCGGUGAAAUGCGUAGAUAUCCGGAGGAACACCGAUGGCGAAGGCAGCUACCUGGCCUGA